CGCCGAAGAUGAACGGGACUAAGCGAUCUGCUGAAGCUGUGGGAUGUAAAAAUACAUCGGUAGGGGAGCGUUCCACCUCAGAGGGAAGCACCGGCGCGAGCAGGUGUGGACGAAGCGGAAGCAAGAAUGUCGGCUUGAGUAACGCAAACAUUGGUGAGAAUCCAAUGCCCCAAAAACCUAAGGGUUCCUCCGCAAGGUUCGUCCACGGAGGGUGAUUCAGGGCCUAAGAUCAGGCCGAAAGGCAUAGUCGAUGGACAACAGGUUAAUGUUCCUGUACUACCCCUUGUUGGUUCCGAGGGAUGGAGGAGGCUAGGUUAGCCGAAAGAUGGUUAUCGGUUCAAGGACGCAAGGUGACCCUUCUUUUUUCAGGGUAAGAAGGGGUAGAGAAAAUGCCUCGAGCCAAUGUCCGAGUACCAAGCACUACAGCGCUGAAGUAACCCAUGCCAUACUCCUAGGAAAAGCUCGAACGACCUUUAACAAAUGGGUACCUGUACCCGAAACCGACACAGGUAGGUAGGUAGAGAAUACCUAGGGGCACGAGACAACUCUCUCUAAGGAACUCGGCAAAAUAGCCCUGUAACUUCAGGAGAAGGGGUGCCUCCUCAGGAGGUCGCAGUGACCAGGCCCGGGCGACUGUUUACCAAAAACACAGGUCUUCGCAAAGUCGUAAGACCAUGUAUGUGGGCUGACGCCUGCCCAGUGCCGGAAGGUUAAGGAAGUUGGUGACCUGAUGACGGGGAAGCCAGUGACCGAAGCCCUGGUGAACGGCGGUCAUAACUAUAACGGUCCUAAAGUAGUGAAAUUCCUUGUCGGGUAAGUUCCGACCCGCACGAAAGGCAUAACGAUCUGGGCACUGUCUCGGAGAGAGACUCGGUGAAAUAGACAUGUCUGUGAAGAUGCGGACUACCUGCACCUGGACAGAAAGACCCUAUGAAGCUUUACUGUUC
rnacentral:ncRNA from 1 species